UGGUGGCCAUAGCGCUGGAGUAAUACCUGUUCCCAUGCCGAACACAGAAGUCAAGGUCAGCUGCGCCGACGAUAGUAUAAUGCAAAAAUAGGACACCGCCAGUUC
rnacentral:rRNA from 1 species